UACGUAGGGUGCAAGCGUUAAUCGGAAUUACUGGGCGUAAAGCGUGCGCAGGCGGUUGUGCAAGACCGAUGUGAAAUCCCCGGGCUUAACCUGGGAAUGGCAUUGGUGACUGCACGGCUAGAGUGUGUCAGAGGGGGGUAGAAUUCCACGUGUAGCAGUGAAAUGCGUAGAGAUGUGGAGGAAUACCGAUGGCGAAGGCAGCCCCCUGGGCCGACACUGACGCUCAGGCACGAAAGCGUGGGGAGCAAACAGG
rnacentral:rRNA from 1 species